AGAAGGAAACUCUUACAAAAAUCUUUUCUGUAAAGGGAGAAUCUUGUAAUUCUUCAAAGAGACAAAAUUUCAGCGUCGCCAUUAUCAUUUCAUUGGAAUCUGGAGCACAACUUAUUGUGUUCAGCUUGGCAGUCCUGUUCAAGAAUGUGCAUCAUUUAUAUUCAGAUGCUCCGUGUUCAUAUGUAUGUCACUGACUACUUCUGUGCUGGUGACCAGCUACCAGAAAGAUGGACAGAAGAUGAAAGAUGUUUCUGGCUCAACUAAUUACUAGUAAAUCCAUCUGCAGUAAGUUGUGCAGCUGUGAGAGGGAGCAUGAUUUCUGUGAGGUCCUGGGGACCGUUGCCAGGCAAUGUAUCCUACAGAUGGUCCUGCUCCUCCCUGAGCACGUGACAGGAUGGAUCCUUGGCUGCUGCGAAGUGCAGACCUGACAUCUCCUGCUACUUCUGGUGACAAGUCACUUGGGAACACAUGGUCCUCGACAUUUGUGGUGGCCAGGGUUGGACAGCCAAUUUGUGAACACAGACAACCACACUCUUAAGUGUGUGGGCUUAUUUCUUUAGCACCUUCUGCACGUGUAAGUUUCUCAGUGGAAGCUGCCCUCUGGAGACUUGUUUAAAUUGCCUCUGGUAAUUUAUAUAUCAUAAUUUAUAACAGCUGUGGAUGCCUUCUGGCUAUCAUCUGAUCUCACUCUUGCUCCUGUCUGCUAUUUCCCCUGUCUGCUAUUUCCCCAAGUAUCAUCUCAGGGUCCAAACAGAACAGUAACCCUGUAAGUCAGGGCUCAGAAAGAAACGUGCAAGCCUACAGCGUCCCCCGGAGAGUGACUAGAAUUACUGCCGUUGCUUUGUAGUCUUCCAGCCCUGGCAGACUCUGUGAGUCGUUCAUGCAAUCAAAUAUCAACCAUGCUGUUUGCUGAAGGAUGCCCCCAUCCAGGAAGCUCGGGAUGCACACAGUGACUGACCCUCGCUUCCUGGUACUGCUCAGUUAAGUGAAUGGUAUACGUAAGCUUGGCCAACCUCAUUACUGUGGCACCCAGUGGACAAUUAAACCAGGUUCUCAGCUCCUGCUGGCCUCCACGGCAUUGCUUUUGGUUGCUCCAGAUACCACCAGAGCCUGCCUUGAGCCUCCAGAAAACUGCUUCCCAGAUAAGUACUUCUUUACUGUAAAGAGGAUAUCAGGACCUCUGUCAAGCUUGUAGAUAACCCAUGGAAGAGGAUACAGAAUGCAAACACCUUCUGCAUUAUUGUACAGAAAAUGGUCUGGGAGGAAGGCAGCAGUAGAGCCAUGGUGAUAAGGCUACCAGAUGAUGGAGAUCCUCAGAGGAGAAUGGGCAGUGACCAUCAUCAUGGUCCUACCUGGCUCACAGCAGGAGGAAAGCAUUUUAUACUCCUUGCUUUCUCUAACACUGUUAGCACUCAGGC